rnacentral:snoRNA from 1 species
GUGGAGAAAUAAAACAGGGGGGCGGGGCUAAAGAAAUGGUUCCUCUCUUUAUUAUACACCAAACAGAAAUCUGGGCUCACUGACAAAUUUGUGGCUUUCCUAUCAAAAUACCCUAUAGGU